AGUGAACGCUGGCGGUAGGCCUAACACAUGCAAGUCGAACGGCAGCACAGUAAGAGCUUGCUCUUACGGGUGGCGAGUGGCGGACGGGUGAGGAAUACAUCGGAAUCUACUUUUUCGUGGGGGAUAACGUAGGGACACUUACGCUAAUACCGCAUACGACCUACGGGUGAAAGCAGGGGAUCUUCGCACCUUGCGCGAUUGAAUGAGCCGAUGUCGGAUUAGCUAGUUGGCGGGGUAAAGGCCCACCAAGGCGACGAUCCGUAGCUGGUCUGAGAGGAUGAUCAGCCACACUGGAACUGAGACACGGUCCAGACUCCUACGGGAGGCAGCAGUGGGGAAUAUUGGACAAUGGGCGCAAGCCUGAUCCAGCCAUACCGCGUGGGUGAAGAAGGCCUUCGGGUUGUAAAGCCCUUUUGUUGGGAAAGAAAAGCAGCAGGUUAAUACCCCGCUGUUCUGACGGUACCCAAAGAAUAAGCACCGGCUAACUUCGUG
rnacentral:rRNA from 1 species